UCGACACCAGCCUUGGCCACACAGGGAAACCCCGUCUCUACAAAAAAUGCAAAAUUAAUUGGGUGUGGUGGUGCAUGCCUGUAGUCCCAGCUAGUUGGGAGGCUGAAGUGGGAGAAGCACUUGAGCCUAGGAGGCAGAGGCUGCAGUGAACGAAGAUCAUGCCACUGCACUGUAACCUGGGUGACAGAGUGAGACCCUGCUCCAAAAAAUAAAUAAAUAAAUAAAGGGCCAGGCACGGUGGCUGACACUUGUAAUCCCAGCACUUUGAGAAGCCAAGGUGGGCGGAUCAUGAGAUGGAGAGCAUCCUGGCUAACACGGUGAAACCCCGUCUCUACUAAAAAUACAAAAAAUUAGUUGGGUGUGGUGGCACGCCCCUGUAGUCCCAGCUACUUGGGAGGCUGAGGCAGGAGAAUCACUUGAACCCCGGGGGCAGAGGUUGCAGUGAGCCGAGAUCCCGCCACUGCACUCCAGCCUGGGCAACAGAGUGAGACUGUCUCAAAAAAAAAAAAAAAAAAAAAAAAAAAAAAGGAGGUAAUGAAACUGAAAUCAACCCACUCUAGAGCUGGAGGCUACUGUUCAGUUUGACUUCUGACCUGCAUGCUUAUUUUGCAGAUGUCUCUCAAUUAAACAAAAUCUCAUUACACAGCAUACAAAGCGUGAUGCAAAAAUAGUUUAUUAUGAUAUAGUUUAUGUAAAGUUAGGUAAUAUUUACAAAACAAAAACGAUCAGCUACAUCCAGGGAAUCUAGCAUGUCACACAGAGGAAUAAAUAUCCUGACAAAGUAACACUUCAAUUGUAGUGAAUAGUUGAUCACAAACUUUGUAAAAAAAAAAAAAAAAAAAAAGCCUCAAAAGGCACCCCCCCUCCCUGCCCCAAAAGAGAGCAGCAGCUCAGCCGGUCAGGCUUUCUUGAGACACUGGCCUGACAGUGGAUGGCCCACCCUACCCCGGAGCUCUACUUCUCAGACCCGAGCGCUGUGCUGGAACCUGGGGAGGCGGUACUCAUUCAGCCCUUUCUUCUGCACACGGCUUUUAGUCUGUUAAACAUUACCAUUUAGCAUUAGAACAGAAAUGAAACACCAGUUGGAAUUAUAUCAGCUGCUUCUUUUUAUCAUGUGACAGAACGUUUAUGAGAACUGCUGGAAUCACAAGCUGCGGCAGAGGUGACUGAAGCAUUUCCACUCCGUUCACAUAUAGCGCCCCAGCUUGGCACAGUAGGUUUUGUCUUUGAUAACGAAUUGAGACACUGACCCUGACAGAAGGGCACAGUUGUGAGAAAAAUCAUUAAGAAUUGUAAUUGUUGAGGAGCCACUUGGAUGCUUUCUACCUUUUAUAAAUAGUACCCUAGGAAAAACCACAUGAAGUAAUUCUUAUACUUAACUGGUUUUGAAUCCUAACAGUAUGUCAGUAGAUAAGUUGUUAAUACUAAGGGUAAAUCCUAAAAUCCUUUAAAAUCCAUUUUAAUUGAAGCUUGUGAUAUAAACGUAACACAGUAGUGAACUGAGUGUUCUUCACAAUCUAUUCCUAGCUGUCUAUAAAACUAAGUAUGUGACACCACUAACUUCUCAAGGGGGGUGGGGGGUCAGGGAGUGAUGGGCGUGACUGUGAGGCUGCAAGCGCUGUGCGUGUGUGUGGCUGCGCCUCCGAAACACCCUUUCCUCAGGUAGCCGAGCUGCGCCUGGGAAAGGCCCCCACUGAGGCUGUGCCCGAGGAACGUGCCCGAGGAACAUGCCGUGUCCACCCCUUGGGACUUGGACGUCCUCUCAGGCCAUCCUACAGUACUGGAGUCUCCAGUUCUUAAGUAUUCUGUGACUCAGUGUUUCCUUACCAAUCUCACAAAAAUAGGUGUUGUAAAAAACAGCUGCAUCUAAGUUCUGCAGCCUCCAUGGAAUUCCAGGAUAUGACCAAAGAGCUGGGGAAUCCAAACAGCUCCGGUGCUCCACAGAGCCCUGCCCAGUGAGUGGUCUUGAAGGUUCUCAGAAACUGCACAUUUAGACCCCGAUCCCAGAACUGUGCCUUGAACCAAGUCUCCCUAGGAUAGCCUUAAAUUACUGUGCAGAAGUCUGGUCAAGAUGGCACCAUCAUUUUCUUCAUUUUCCUGAUUUUCCUUAAGGACUCUGGCUCUACCAAGAAGAGGCAAUACAGAAUUCUUUCAAUGAAACAAUGUAUGGAUACAGAGCUAUCGUUAUUUUGGAUAUUGUAUACUUUAAAACCAUCUAUUAGAUGACCAAAAGUUUUACAAAGAUGCAGCAGUCAUUAAAAACAUUUCCUUAUAAUGCUGAGCGGGUUUCAACGGUGCAGUCAACCCUGUUCUCCCCAUCUUAAAAAGGGGUGUCUGUUUAAGAUUUUUUUAAAAACCCAUACAAACUUUGUCACAAAAAUCCCUGCAGUAACUUCUCAGUAAUAUUUACAUUGCUUGCUCUAAAUAAUAUACAGGCUAUUUUGAAGAAAAUAAACACAGCUGCUUUUAAAUACAGAGAAAUUGCAAGCUACACCAAGCAUGCAAUAGCUUAAGUAUUCACAAAGUACUGCAUCCGAACACCUAAGGACUCGGACCCAAGACGUGUUCAGACAGAAACUUGUCCCAUCUCUAGGGAUGAUCUAGUGUUGAGCUACUGACUCCCCUAUCCUGCCAAGAGUCUUUUCUUUUGUUGAAGGAUUUCAGAGUAGGGAGAUGUCUUCCCUUUACAGAGAAGCAAGAAUACUUGAAGCUCACGGUUCUGAAAAGGGCAAGAGAAUGAACAGGGUCUUGUCCCUGGCAGACAAAAUUUGAGAUAACCGAUAAUGUUCCUUUCCAUGCUGGGUUUAUGCCAGGCUUUCCUUUCAAAGAGCCUACAGCACGGUGUUACUAGCCUUCAGCUCAGGCUGGUUCUUAACUGCCAUCAGCUGUGGACACAUGCCCUUGCUGAAAGCUGUUUGGCCCAAAUGUGUAAACACAAGAACUGUACAAAGGUACAAUGAAGAGCCCCCUCUAAAGGGUGGCUGCAGAACAACCUGCCGUAGCUGCUGUGCAAGGAAGAACGCCCAUCUCAGAACGUUCUGUUGCUUGGCAUUGAGAACAGUGGUGGCCUUCACCUUUGGAUGUGAAGAUGACCGUUCACGGGAUGAAAAAUCUACUAUCUGAGUUUACAUCUUUAAAGCAGGUAGUGGCAUGGAGAAGCCAGGGGAAGGAAGGAGUGUGCUUGUACAUGGCACCUCCAAGCCUGAAGUGCGUGGAAAACUCACGUUCAGUUGCUGAGUAUUACCUACUGGAGACGCUCGCGCUGAGCGGGCUAGGAACCUCUCUUCAGAAGAAUGCUGGAAGGCAGGAAAGCCCAGGAAGGUGAAAAGUGGGAAAACAGCGUGUAGAUACCUUAAUUCUAAGGAACUUUUUAAUAAGCAAGUUCCCAGCAGCUUUCUUCCCAAGUCCUUUCAGAAAGGGGGCUCUUUUGCCAGCACUGAGAACCUUCGCUCACUUCAGCUGAAAGGAGAAAACACAGGGCUGAUCCCAGCUUGCAGGAAAGGGGAAACGAAAUGUUGUCUCUGGCCUGUGUCACCUCUUAGUGCUCCAACAUGGACCUCAGGGCAAGUUACAACUUGUUUAGAAAGCAAAUUCCUUGUACAACAGACCUAUGACUCCCCUAGCCAGGACUUUUAUCUCACACCCUAAAAUGAAUGAAGUUCCCAGGAAAGUGAAGCUUCUCAUCAACAUGACAAAUUUUCUUUAAAAUUUCAACAUCAAAUUCCUUUGAAGUAUAAUAUCAUACAUUUCCAUUCUUUAUAGAACUUUGACAAUACUUAAUUUCUUUCUCCCUUAGUGACAAAGGGGGUCACUAAGUUUUUACUGUAUCUUAUAGGCCAGGCGCAGUGGCUCACGCCUGAAAUCCCAGCACUUUGGGAGGCUGAGACGGGCGGAUCACGAGGUCAGGAAAUCGAGACCAUCCUGGACAACAUGGUGAAAUCCCGUCUCUACUAAAAAUACAAAAAAAUUAGCCAGGCGUGGCGGCAGACACCUGUAGUCCCAGCUACUCGGGAGGCUGAGGCAGGAGAAUGGCAUGAACCUGGGAGGCAGAGGUUGCAGUGAGCCGAUUGUGCCACUACACUUCAGCUUGGACAACAGAGCGAGACUCUGUCUUAAAAAAACAAAAAACAAAAAACAACCCCCCCCCACCCCCCAAAAAACCCACUGUAUCUUAUAAAGGAAGGUCUUAUAAAUUCCAAGCUUCUUUAGGACCACGUUAGGCAAACUCUUCUUUUCAGGAAAAGUUAACGUUGAUGUGCCACAUUCUUUUCUAAGUGCAAACUGUCUUAGAACUUACCCGUCAGUGAAUGAGCAGCUGGGAGAAAGGGGUAUGUGACCAGCCAUUAAAGUCACCACACAUACAAAGGAGCAGGGGACAGCAGAGCUUCCCCUAUACCCCAAAUUAGGCUGCAGGUCAUAUUAAAAACCUAGGAGGCCAAAUAGGAUUACUUGUUUGUGUAGGGACCUGGCUGCCGACAGGGACUCCAUGCAGGAUGGCCUUGGCCUCCAGGGCCCUACACCUAGCGGGCUCUGCUGUGUCCCAGCUCCGUGGCACCCGCCAGCCUCCCAGGAGACGGCCAGGCAGGAGUGAUGAUCAGGAUUGUGUUCAAUUCUCAGCAUGUUUCCAUGUACCCAAAAGUUAAAGAGUCCCAUCUACCUCUAUAGUAAAACAAAUGGUAGUAAAUACAUUCCAUAAAAAUGUUUUUCAAGCCAUCAGUUUUGUUUCCAGCCUUAUCUGUCAGUAUUCCUUUCAGGCACAUUCUGAGAUUCACAACUGUGUUCUUUAAACAGCCAAAAUUCCCUCUUCUCCCUGUAUGGCUGCAUGAGCUGGAGGGUAAAGGAGUGAUGGGAGCUGGUGGCUGCUGCAGAAACAGGUUCUUGCCGGGCCUUCCACGUCACUAAGCAGGCUGUGGGGCCUUGCUCUCCAUGCUCUUCUGCCUUCAUACUUGCUGAAUCCGAAGCAAGAUCCUCUCCGAUGUUACCUCUUGUUCAAUAAACCCGCAAGUUCGCGAUACUGCCACCUCUAGUCACCCUGGGAUGUCCACUGCAUCACCCACUUAGCACAGGCCCAUUAUGACUCCCUGAAGCACAGGCUUCCAGCUCACAGGGCAGCGCACUGUCUCCACCCCUGCCCAAUGAUCCACUCAGACCCGGGAGGCUGUGGACAGUGCGUCCUCUGAAAUGCUGGUCUCCACACCUGCUUGGGGCUGGGGCACCAUGUGUGGAUAAAGAAACUGACCAGCAGAAAGUGACUAUUCUGCACGUGCAGGUGUGCACACAAGGCUGGAGUGCAGUGACACGAUCACGACUAAUUGCAGCCUCGACCUCCCGGGCUCAAGCAAUCCUCCUACCUCAGCCUCCUGAGUAGCUGGGACUGCAGCUACGCAACUGUGCCACCUCAGAGAAGUAGAUUUUUAAACAAAUCCAAUUUUCUCUUGCUGUUAACAACACUGAAGACUGGUAGCAGAGGAGUGAAAGUGUGGGUUAAGAGCCUUAAAAACUUGUGGAAAGGGCUCGAUGCCAGUGGAGAGCACUUAGUUAUUUCAGUGAGAAGAGAGCACCUAAACCUGGGUCUGAAAACACAUGAAAACUCCAGGCCUUGCUCCCGGCCCUUCUGCACAUUGGGGGCAGGGCCAGAGCUCCACAGACGGCCUUGCUCAUGACUUCAUCUAGAAACUGAGCAACAGGAUUUCUAGAUUUCAACACCCAAAGCAUCCACACACCCACAGAGACCAUCACACCAACUCAAGCAUGAAUACAAAGUGAAAGCAUGUUCUUGGCAUGAAAACCAUCUGCUCACACCCCACCUUGCUCCUAAAGUAGCAGAACCUGUUCCACCAGCCAGGGGUUUAUACUCCCUAUCUUAAUGGGAUUAAUGGUUUUCAUGGGGCCAUAAUAGACUCCAAUUUAAGAGAUUUUCAAGAAUUGCUAUAGAAUGUUUUGUGGUAGUUAAAAAGGUCUUCCUCAAACUGUUAGAAAAAGCAAAAUGGUUAGUAUAGGUUUACUUUAACCAGGCUGUUUUAAAGAUAAAUGCUGCAAGACAGGUUUCCAGAGCUCAGAUUAAUUAAAUGAGAAUUAAGAUCGGAGUCUCAAUACACACUCAUGUGCUGUUCUCAUCAGAUUCUGACAUCCUCUCUACUUUCCUCUUGACUUAACAGGGGUCUCAACAGGGGUCUCCUCUCAACCUUUUCCAAAGCAAUGUGACGGUUUCUUUUCCAAAAGGUAAAAAAACCCAAACCCCCAAACCUUCCCCCACUUUGAAUGAUUCCUGGGGGGAAUUCAUUUGUUUUUUGCAAUCAGAGUCUGAAACCUGGGCUGCAGGUCAACAAUCUCGAGUAGUUAUGAAAAGACCAGGGUUACUGGAGACCAAGAAAGGAACGAGCGGAGGAAGGAAGGAAGGAAGGAAGGAGAGGGGCCGGGGAUUUUGUGCAAGAUUUAAUAAAAAACAAACAAAAAUAGGAAUGGUUGCUUUCAACAUUUUCCAGGUUGUGAAAGGUUUGCCACGAUUCUCAGGGGUGUGGUUCUAAGCUGCAUCAGUGGAACAAAUACAAAAUGCUGUCCUCCUCCCAGGCUGGAAGGCAGUGCACCUUCUCCUCUUAACAGCCAGACUAGCGGGUGAGAAGUCAGUGCUGUGACCCAGGCCAAGCUGGAGUGUCCGCAUGGCUUUUUCUCUGACCAGUGGGGAUUCCAUCUACCUUGAGGCGUGCUGGCUGGGCCCUGUUUCCACACCAGCGCGUGGUGAGACAGGGUAGCUUAUCAACAGGCUGCUGGGCCUUAAUACUGACAGUGAGUAUGGCGGGUCACAGCCAGGAAGGGACUAACACAGAUGCCCUCCCAGCCCCCACUGCUGGCCUAAUUUUAGAAUACCACGGAAAAAAGCUUUGAUGAAGACAACAGGAAGUCAACACAGCAGAGAGUGGUGUGGACAAUCCAGAAGCCAGCCUCACGCAUUCCAUGCCCACAGUUAACGAUGACAACAACAGCAAUAAUAAUAAUAAAACAAAGGUACAGGUGAAAAGCAGCGCUCGGGGUGUGCUGCUGCAAGCUGGGGAAGGCGCGUGCUCAACUUGGAUGGGACACAGCUAGUCUUUCUUCAAGUCCCUGGAUUCAAAGAGCUUCAACCGUUCUUGCACCGUCAGGCCUUCCUUCAGACUCUGGGUAGAGACAGAGCAGGAGGAGAAAAUAAACACACCGUUAGACCCCCUGCACUGGACCGGACCGGACCAGACCGGACCGCUGGUGGAGCCGGCAUCAGAGAGCCGGGUGCAGGUGCGGUUAGUGGGCAUGCCAGGAGGAGAGGCCCCGGGAAAUGCUGUUAUUGGUGGAGGAUGUUUUCCCCUUCAGAAAAUUACUUGGAUGAAAAAGGAAAAAAAAAUCAGAGAGACAAGACCAUGUGUUUAAGCAGCUAAAUUCUGAGCUUAGGGCUCUUUAGACAAGCAGUGAUCAGACGAAUCCAGCCAGGGAAAACAGUGCAAUGAGCAAGGAGACUGCCCAUCCCCGUGUCUUGUCUUGUGUGUGGAUUUGUCCGCAUCCAGCUCCAGAGAGAUUCUUCACCUGACAGCCUCAGCUGAGGAGGACCAGAUGCUCCAGGGCAUCCCCAGCAGGAUGGGUGUCCCGGGACAGGGCCUCGCUCCUACAGUGCCUCUGCAGCACCUGCUGCCCUCAGACCCAUUUCUGGCAUUCCCUGAUCAGAGGCCUGUGAGUGGUAUGGGGAUUUGGGAACACGCCAACAUAUCUAGUAAGAUUUUCAAAACGUAAAACCAAUACUCUGUUCACGUGGGAUCUUGCUAAAGCUUAAAUCUGUAUGUCCAGAGAUGAAUGAGAUCUUACUAACUGGCGGACAGAGUAUUUUCCAUCUCAUUCUUACAGACUUUUCUCAAUGAUUUAAUUUCUGAAUAAGAAAAGGAAGAGCACUUUUCAGAGAAUGACUGGAAAUGAAGGGCAUUCCAGUACUGCCUGGAAAGUGCUGUGGCUCUUCACUUAUCUCCCUCUUCACGCUAAGUGUCGCCGUCACACUCAGCCCUGCUGACUCCCUGUGGCUUACCCUUGUCAGAGCUGGUGCAGAUACAGGCUUUACUGAGAAAUCGGAAGCUGAAGGGAUGGCCUCUAGCUCAGGGUUUGCCUGAUUCUACCAGUUUCAACCAAAAACCUGAGCAACGUGAAACUGCAGGCUGUACCCCAUCUACUGGGGAGUCGCCAGCUUAGGCUCAGGCAUCCUCUGGCACCGUCCUGGAGACCCUGGU